CUGUGCUAAUUGUUUUCGCUCUUGUCCAAUCAGAGCGCAGAACUACUCGCUCGUUAUUAGCGAUCGGUUUUUCACUUCCAAGAAAAGUCCAAGAACGUGUCUUCUGAUCGGUCGAGAGCUGUCAGAGUAGACGUAACGGACGGGUUAAAUGUAGCAACGAAGAAACGUAACAUGAUCUGAUUGGUUAAUAAUUCGUUCAUAUUGGUUAAUAAUUGUCCCCGCCCACAUUUACAUUUCAAGUGAUUUCAUUGACACUAGCAUUCACUCACGAUGAGAAUUUUUCAAAUUCUGUGUACAUUCGGUGCAACUCAUUGUCCUGAAAGUUUCCUCGGUCCGUGCGCGUGCCGCGAUGUUUCCCCACUCACAACUUUAGUUGUAAAAUAAAAUCUGGAAGAAAACCCUAUCGGCGUGGUUUCAUCUUCUCCUGUCGUAUUGAACGCGUACAGAGACGUUUAUGAAGAGAAAUAAAGCUCGGAAGUAGCAGAGAUCGUCUGUAUGUUUUGUGACUGUAUGUACCUAGUACAGUUGGCUUGGUUUGCUAAUCUGAUCUGAGAACGAAGCUAGUUAGCAUUAGAAGAUAAAUAUAUUGCUACUGACUAAAAGAGAGACUCGUCCCCUGCCAGAGUGAACGUGGUGUGAUGGAGAAACAAGAUGAACUGAACUCAGGGAAGUGUGAAAUGUAGGAAUAAAGCACAUGACCCUGAGGGUGUGUGUGUGUGUGUGUGUGUGUGUGUGUGUGUGUGUGGGAGUAAAGGGCAGCAUACUGUAUCCCAAAUCGCUCUACACUUUCUCAAAAAGCCAUAAAUAUGACAGGGGUCAAACGGGGUCACGGGCUAAGCACUCAAUCGCCCAUAAACUCAAUAAAGCUCCUGCGUCUGUCCACACGGCCCUUCAUGCUGAUGGAUAGAGAUGGAGAACGGGGCGGGGGAUGGGCACUGUGUGUGUGUGCGUGUGUGUGUGUGUGUGUGUGUGUGUGUGUGUGAGAGAGAGCGAGAGAGAGAUUGUGUGUUUCUACCCAUGAAGAGAGAGGAGAAGAAUGCGGCGAAACUCAGUUUGAGACUCUAGCUAGAGAGUUUCUGUUUGGAUACUGUGUGUGUGUGUGUGUGUGUGUGUGUGUGUGUGUGUGAAAGUGUAAGUGUAAGCGUGUGAAUAAUUCAUCUGGCUCGUCCUGCUCCUGCUCUGGCCCUCGCGCUGUUUCCCCACCGCGUCUGUUUGCUUUGAGGAGCUAAAUCUUGUUUGCGCGUCGCCACGAGUCAACCAGAUUAUCACUCACUCACACACACACACACACACACCCAUCCCAAACCCUAUCCCUACGUUAGCAGUAUGUUUUUUUCACAGCUAAUUAAAUUAAUCCCAAUGCCUGUAAUGAUUUUCUGCACAUCUAUAUUUAAUAGCCGAGCGGAUAUCAAAGAGCUUUAAGUACGCGCCUUGUCCCUCUUAGCCUUACUGUAGGGCGCCUAAUUAGUGCCCUGGAUCUACUCAGACAUCACACAGUGAUCGUCUUACCAUUAAGGGCUAAUGUAGCUGCUAGCGCUGGGCGCUAAUCCAACUGAUAGCGGUUAGCAGAGAUACGUAUAUGAAGGUGUGUAAUCAGACAGGUUAUGGAGUUGUGUCGUAAAGUAGAGCCGCUGAUCUGAGGAGUUUCCUUUCGUGUAGCAAGGCUAGCAAAACACGAUCAGCAGUGAAACAUCUGGAACAUGGGAUUAGUGGAGAAGGAUUGUUAGGGAAACCUUUUUUUUGGGUUAGUUUUAUUCUCAAAUUGAUUUGAUCAGGUUCGCGUCUGAAGACAGAGUCGUGUUUACUGGGUUUUCUUUUCUAACCGUGUGUGUGUGUGUGUGUGUGUGUGUGUGUGUGUGUGUGUGUGUGUGUGUGUGAACAGUAAAUGUCUCUUCCUGACUCUCAAUGUCACACACUCCGGGGUUCCGUGCCGAGGUGCAUUUCCAUAAAAUAUUAACGCCGUUGUUUCCUGUAAUUAAAGGCGCAUGUGCGUCUGUUCGGGCCGACGCUGUGCUGUAAUUAGCCCUCAUCAGGCUUGUUCAGCGACGAGUGAGUGUGUGAAAAUGCACUGACACGACACAGCGGGGGCACGCGGGCCACACACACGCACACACACACACGCACACACACACACGCAUUAGCAUACACAAACACAAAAGAGCAGCACAGGAGCUGUAAUAUGGCUGAGCCGAAAGUCUCCCGGCUGUGGAAUUAUCUCCACAGCUAUCCACAUAUUGAUCCGUCUCUUAGCUCGGCGUAAUUCUCUCCAUCUGUCUUCUCCCUCCUAUAUAAUCUGCUCCAGGCCUUAAUGACCGCCGUUCCCGCCAUGAACAAGAUAGUAAUGUGCACCAGUAGCUGUUAUGAUGUGAAAUGACCCUAUUGAUUGCUUACCCUGCUGACAAAGGAGGUGGCAAACGCCACUUAUUACCGUUAAUGAGGUGUGGGAUGUGUUAAGUGGCUCCUCUGCAUAAUGGAAGUGCUACCUGAGUGUUCGUUAGCGUCGUUCACCAAGCAAAAAGAGAGAGAGACAUAGAGAGAGAGAGAGAGAGAGAGAGAGAGAGAGAGAGAGAGAGCCAUCGACAUGCUUGACUAAAUGAUACCUGAUAUUGCUUUUGAUGGUGGAUCAGAGGUAAAAGAAGUCGCUUAGUAGAGUUUUAUCUUGCAUUCAGAUUGGGAAGUGACAAAGUGAAUGGGACUGUUCUUGUACGCGUGCGACAUGGAGCCACAGUUUUAGUGAGAAAAUAACAAAACAACAGCGAGAAAGUGAGAAAGCGACAACGCACCAGCAACAAAGCGACAGUGUUCCAACGACAACGACACUGCCGCAAAGCGUGACAAAGUGACAUCAACAAAGUGACAGUGACACAGCAAAGAAGCAACAGUGAGAAACCAGUGAACAGCAACGAAGAGACAGCGACAAAAUGACAGCUACACAAUGACAGCAUUACAGUGACAGCAACAAAAUGACAGCAACAAAGAGACAGCGACAAAAUGACAAUGACAAAAUGACAGCAACAAAGAGACAGCGACAAAAUGACAACGACAAAAUGACAGCGACAAAGAGACAGCGACACAAUGACAGCAACAAAGAGACAGCAACAAAAUGAUAGCGACAAAGAAACAGCGACAAAAUGACAACGUCAAAAUGACAGCGUCAAAAUGAGAGGGACAAAAUGACAGUGACAAAGAGACAGGAGACAAAAUGACAGCGACAAAGAGACAGCGACAAAAUGACAGCGACAAAGAGACAGCAACAAAAUGACAAUGACAAAGAGACAGCGCCACAAUGACAGCGUCAAAAUGACAGCGUCAAAAUGACAGCGCCAAAAUGACAGAGACAAAAUGACAACGACAAAAUGACAGAGACAAAAUGACAACGACAAAGAGAUAAAGACAAAAUGACAAUGACAACAUGACAGCGAAAUGAGAAAGCAGCAGUGACACGGAAACAACAUUAAACUGCAGCAACAACAAGGAAGUGACAAACUGAUAGUGACAAAGAGACAACGCAACAACGAUAUAGUAACUGUGGUAAUGUGACAAAGCCACAACACAAAGUAACGUGUUACUGUAAUCUAAUGACUUUUUCUGAUAACGCAGUAACACAUUAUAUUUUAAAUGGAUGUAAUUUAAUUACACUUACUGAUGCCAAUAAAACAACGUUUACUUCCAUUUCAAAUUCAUUGUUAAGAAAACAAUAUGAAAUAAAAUGCAUUUUUAAAAUAAAUCAGGUUUUGCCCUGAAGAUGUUUUCUUUAUCCCUGAAUAAUUCUCCGCUCGGAGCGGUUCGUCACUGCGUAACUGAACGUCAGUAAAAGAAGACGGCGGUGAUGUAAUGUUAUAUCUUCAGUGAACGGAGGCGAGACCGAUCAGACAGCGUUUACAGGAACAUGCGUGGAAAUUCUCGCGUCUUAUUGGCUGACGGUCUCUCGAUUCUGCCGAACGCUAGCUCACAGUCAGUGUGAGGAAAAAUGGAUAAACGCAGAUUUAUUAUUAUUUUUAAAGCAGUAAAGGAGUUGAAACAGAAACAGAAACAUCCUCUGAUGCUGAGCAGGAGAACAAGGCGUGUGAACGUCUAUAUGAGUUCCAGUUCACGUGAAGAUGAUCUGAGCAGAGCAGAAGGAAAGAUAAUGAACUCUACAUGACUCUGUAGCAGCUAAACACAUACAGUGAUAGCUUAGCCGUGUCUCCUCUCGGCUAGAGACACCAAACUAGCCUAGUUCGAAAAGUUUCAUAUUUUAGCGCUCUGGUAUUCUACACACAGCGACACGCCCGAGGAAGGGUCUAUUAUAAAUCAGACUUUUUCUGAUCGUGUCGUACACUGACGCUAACCUUACUGAAAGAUCUCUGAGUUUGAGUUUGUAGUGUAUUCUGUAGGUUUGAUGGUUUUGAAAGUAAUUAGUAAUCUGUAGUGGAUGUAUUUUUUUGAGUAACUUACCCAACACUGAUGAGUUAUAAGGAGGUGAAAUGGUACGGUCCGCUAAGUGUUAUUAGUCACAAAUGGAGUUUUGUCUGAAUGUGGUGAUAAUAUAUAUCUAAGUUUUGUCACUAGUUUUUCUGUGCUAGGAAUUGUGUGUGUGUGUGUGUGUGUUUGUGUGUGUGUGUGUGUGUGUGUGUGUGUUGGCUGCUGUGUCUCUCAGGCCUGUUCAGACAUUCACAGGACAUAUGCAGUCUGCCACAGUACAUGUGCGACACGUGUUUUUUUAUUCAUUCCUCUCCUCUUUUCAUCUUCCGCCACAACCGGAGCGCUUCCUGAUAUUCUGUUCCCAAGCUCCGGACAAACGAAGAACAGAUGACUUUUUGAAAAGAGCACCCCCCCUCACACACACACACACACACACACACACACACACCCCUCCCUCUCUCCCUCCUUCUCUCUCUCGUUACUCAUCGUCACUGAGACGAGACUCCUGUUUCUCGGGGUAGGAGAAAAACUGUGACUAUGAUUUUCUUUGGAAAAACUUUUUCUUCGUAACGCAAACCCCGUUUUUUGGAAAUGACUUGUUUCGAGUCUGGAGGGUUAGUAAGAGACGGGACGUCAUGCUGAUGUCUUCCCAAAAAUAUCCCGCAUGUCUCAACUACCUAACCCGGUGUCCUCACAUGUCCCGUCACUCAUCCCGUCUGGACAGUUUCUCACCAGGCUAAUCGAUAAACCUCCUCUGGUGAUAACAUAUCAAGCUAAUAUAUUGCUUGUUUAUCAGUUUCUGGGAUGGAUCAGUCUACGGAGUAUCGAGCACCACACACGGGUCAGGAUUUAUCUCAGCGAGCGACGCGGCCGGUCAGAAACCCAAACGGCAGGGUGCAUGGGAACUGUCAAUAUUUUCAUAUGUAAGGGGCGAAAUUAAUGACCUAAUCUCAAUAAGAAAGCUUGGUUUAACAGACUAAUCCCUGAGAGUUGUGUGUGUGUGUGUGUGUGUGUGUGUGUGUGUGUGUGUGUGUAUACAGUAUGUGUGCUGCAUUCACAAAAUGCAGAAGGACACAAAUCUGAAAUAGCUCCUUCUUCUAAACCCCAAAUAUCUACAAACAAGGCAAUCUUCUCCAACAAACACCGACUUCUCCAACAAACCACAAUCUUCUCCAACAAAC
ensembl:lncRNA